AAUGAACGCUGGCGGCAUGCCUAACACAUGCAAGUCGAACGAAGGCUUCGGCCUUAGUGGCGCACGGGUGCGUAACGCGUGGGAAUCUGCCCUUUGGUUCGGAAUAACAGUUAGAAAUGACUGCUAAUACCGGAUGAUGACGUAGGUCCAAAGAUUUAUCGCCGUUGGAUGAGCCCGCGUUGGAUUAGCUAGUUGGUGUGGUAAGAGCGCACCAAGGCGACGAUCCUUAGCUGGUCUGAGAGGAUGAUCAGCCACACUGGGACUGAGACACGGCCCAGACUCCUACGGGAGGCAGCAGUGGGGAAUAUUGGACAAUGGGCGAAAGCCUGAUCCAGCAAUGCCGCGUGAGUGAUGAAGGCCUUAGGGUUGUAAAGCUCUUUUACCCGGGAUGAUAAUGACAGUACCGGGAGAAUAAGCUCCGGCUAACUCCGUG
rnacentral:rRNA from 1 species